rnacentral:rRNA from 1 species
AGUGAACGCUGGCGGUAGGCCUAACACAUGCAAGUCGAACGGCAGCACAGUAAGAGCUUGCUCUUACGGGUGGCGAGUGGCGGACGGGUGAGGAAUACAUCGGAAUCUACUUUUUCGUGGGGGAUAACGUAGGGAAACUUACGCUAAUACCGCAUACGACCUACGGGUGAAAGCAGGGGAUCUUCGGACCUUGCGCGAUUGAAUGAGCCGAUGUCGGAUUAGCUAGUUGGCGGGGUAAAGGCCCACCAAGGCGACGAUCCGUAGCUGGUCUGAGAGGAUGAUCAGCCACACUGGAACUGAGACACGGUCCAGACUCCUACGGGAGGCAGCAGUGGGGAAUAUUGGACAAUGGGCGCAAGCCUGAUCCAGCCAUACCGCGUGGGUGAAGAAGGCCUUCGGGUUGUAAAGCCCUUUUGUUGGGAAAGAAAAGCAGCAGGUUAAUACCCCGCUGCUCUGACGGUACCCAAAGAAUAAGCACCGGCCAACUUCGUG